rnacentral:rRNA from 1 species
UACGUAGGGUGCAAGCGUUGUCCGGAAUUAUUGGGCGUAAAGAGCUCGUAGGCGGUUUGUUGCGUCGGCUGUGAAAUCCCGAGGCUCAACCUCGGGUCUGCAGUCGAUACGAGCAAACUAGAGUGUUGCAGGGGAGACUGGAAUUCCUGGUGUAGCGGUGAAAUGCGCAGAUAUCAGGAGGAACACCCGGUGGCGAAGGCGGUUCUCUGGGCCUGUACUGACGCUGGAGGAGCGAAAAGCGUGGGGGAGCGAACAGG